CAUAUCAAUAAGCGGAGGAAAAGAAACCAACAGGGAUUGCCUUAGUAACGGCGAGUGAAGCGGCAACAGCUCAAAUUUGAAAUCUGGCUCUUUUAGGGUCCGAGUUGUAAUUUGUAGAGGAUGCUUCGGCGUGGGCCCCGGUCUAAGUUCCUUGGAACAGGACGUCACAGAGGGUGAGAAUCCCGUACGUGGCCGGUGGCGCUCGCCAUGUGAAGCUCCUUCGACGAGUCGAGUUGUUUGGGAAUGCAGCUCUAAAUGGGAGGUAAAUUUCUUCUAAAGCUAAAUACCGGCCAGAGACCGAUAGCGCACAAGUAGAGUGAUCGAAAGAUGAAAAGCACUUUGGAAAGAGAGUUAAAAAGUACGUGAAAUUGUUGAAAGGGAAGCGCUUGCAACCAGACCUGAUCGUAGCUGCUCAUCCGGGCUCCUGCCCGGUGCACUCUUCUGCGGUCAGGCCAGCAUCAGUUCUGGCGGUCGGAUAAAGGCGGCGGGAAUGUGGCUCCUCUCGGGGAGUGUUAUAGCCCGCCGCGUCAUGCGGCCAGCCGGGACUGAGGUCCGCGCUUCGGCUAGGAUGCUGGCGUAAUGGUUGUAAGCGGCCCGUCUUGAAACACGGACCAAGGAGUCUAACAUCUGUGCGAGUGUUUGGGUGUCAAGCCCGGACGCGUAAUGAAAGUGAACGGAGGCGGGAACCUUCGGGUGCACCGUCGACCGAUCCUGAUGUCUUCGGAUGGAUUUGAGUAAGAGCAUAGCUGUUGGGACCCGAAAGAUGGUGAACUAUGCCUGAAUAGGGUGAAGCCAGAGGAAACUCUGGUGGAGGCUCGCAGCGGUUCUGACGUGCAAAUCGAUCGUCAAAUUUGGGCAUAGGGGCGAAAGACUAAUCGAACUAUCUAGUAGCUGGUUCCUGCCGAAGUUUCCCUCAGGAUAGCAGUAACGUUUUCAGUUUUAUGAGGUAAAGCGAAUGAUUAGAGGCAUGGGGGUUGAAACAACCUUCACCUAUUCUCAAACUUUAAAUAUGUAAGAAGUCCUUGUUACUUAGUUGAACGUGGACAUUUGAAUGCACCGUUACUAGUGGGCCAUUUUUGGUAAGCAGAACUGGCGAUGCGGGAUGAACCGAACGCGGGGUUAAGGUGCCGGAAUGCACGCUCAUCAGACACCACAAAAGGUGUUAGUUCAUCUAGACAGCAGGACGGUGGCCAUGGAAGUCGGAAUCCGCUAAGGAGUGUGUAACAACUCACCUGCCGAAUGAACUAGCCCUGAAAAUGGAUGGCGCUCAAGCGUGCUACCCAUACCCCGCCGCCGGGGCAAGAGUUACGCCCCGGCGAGUAGGCAGGCGUGGAGGCCCGUGACGAAGCCUUGGGGGUGACCCCGGGUAGAACGGCCUCUAGUGC
rnacentral:rRNA from 1 species